rnacentral:rRNA from 1 species
CAAAAGGAUUUUGCUUAUUGCACCACAUGUGUUUUUUAUUGAACAAAUUUCUUUGGUGGCGGGAGCAAUCCUACCGCCAGAGGUUAUAACUAAACCAAACUUUUUAUUUACAGUCAAACUUGAUUUAUUAUUACAAUAGUCAAAACUUUCAACAACGGAUCUCUUGGUUCUCGCAUCGAUGAAGAACGCAGCGAAAUGCGAUACGUAAUAUGAAUUGCAGAUAUUCGUGAAUCAUCGAAUCUUUGAACGCACAUUGCGCCCUUUGGUAUUCCAAAGGGCAUGCCUGUUUGAGCGUCAUUUCUCCCUCAAACCCCCGGGUUUGGUGUUGAGCAAUACGCUAGGUUUGUUUGAAAGAAUUUAACGUGGAAACUUAUUUUAAGCGACUUAGGUUUAUCCAAAAACGCUUAUUUUGCUAGGGGCCACCACAAUUUAUUUCAUAACUUUGACCUCAAAUCAGGAAGAACUACCCGCUGAACUUAACCAUAUCAAUAACCGGAGGAA